AAAAGAGGUCAGUGGUGGUAGGUUUAAUGCAGAAGAUGAUCUUGCAAUUCAGCCUCCUACCAAAAUAUCAAAAUUUGGACCACUGAAAAAAGGCUUUAAAUUUAAAUUAAAUGGAAUGAUAAUAUUUACAAUUAGUUUGCUCUUAAAUAACUCUUAUUGCACAGCUGCAUCUUCUGAACAAACAGUGACAACACUGGGUAGUUCGGUUCAACUUAACUGGUUAUUUAGAACGGACGAUGCCGAGAUCAAACCAAUAAUUCAGUUC